CGGACGGGUGAGUAACGCGUAAGGAACUUGCCUCUUGGUCUGGGACAACUGUUGGAAACGACAGCUAAUACCGGAUAUUAUGAGAUUCUCGCAUGGGAAACUUAUGAAAGCUAUAUGCGCCAAGAGAGAGCCUUGCGUUCCAUUAGCUAGUUGGUGGGGUAACGGCCCACCAAGGCGACGAUGGAUAGCCGGCCUGAGAGGGUGAACGGCCACAAGGGGACUGAGACACGGCCCUUACUCCUACGGGAGGCAGCAGUGGGGAAUAUUGGACAAUGGGCCACAAGCCUGAUCCAGCAAUUCUGUGUGCACGAUGAAGGUCUUCGGAUUGUAAAGUGCUUUCAGUUGGGAAGAAGAAAGUGACGGUACCAACAGAAGAAGCGACGGCUAAAUACGUGCCAGCAGCCGCGGUAAUACGUAUGUCGCAAGCGUUAUCCGGAUUUAUUGGGCGUAAAGCGCGUCUAGGCGGAAAAAUAAGUCUGAUGUUAAAAUGCGGGGCUCAACUCCGUAUUGCGUUGGAAACUGUUUUUCUAGAGUACUGGAGAGGUGGGCGGAACUACAAGUGUAGAGGUGAAAUUCGUAGAUAUUUGUAGGAAUGCCGAUGGAGAA
rnacentral:rRNA from 1 species